GGCUACCUGGCGCAAUGGUAGCGCGUUUGGCUUCGAUCGCUUACGUAAUACCAAAAGGCUGCAGGUUCGAGUCCUGCGGUGGUCA